rnacentral:misc_RNA from 2 species
AAGUCGUAACAAGGUCUCCGUUGGUGAACCAGCGGAGGGAUCAUUACCGAGUUUACAACUCCCAAACCCAAUGUGAACGUUACCAAACUGUUGCCUCGGCGGGGUCACGCCCCGGGUGCGUAAAAGCCCCGGAACCAGGCGCCCGCCGGAGGAACCAACCAAACUCUUUCUGUAGUCCCCUCGCGGACGUAUUUCUUACAGCUCUGAGCAAAAAUUCAAAAUGAAUCAAAACUUUCAACAACGGAUCUCUUGGUUCUG